AGAGAUUCCGUUUGCCCCGCCCCCUCAUUAGCUGUGUGAACUCAGGCAAUUUGCUUAAUUCUCUGAACUUUGGAGUCAUCUGUUGCAAAAUAGGGAUACUUAUAACCAACUUCUAAAAUUGCUAAUAUAUAUGAAGCACUGGACAUUCUGUCUUCACAUAGUAGGUACUCAACUAAUGGCAGCUUUUGUAAAGCCUAGAGCAGCUCUCAGCACACAAAUAACAACUAAACUGCUGACGCAUUGAUAAAUGGCUAUCUCUUGGGCAUGUCUACUCAAAAUGCUUUCCUGUUUGCUGAAAAAGUUAGAGGGAUCUUGGAGAAGGACUGUAACAACCUUAAGCAGAUAAUACAACAAUUGUCUCUGCUGUUCUGCACACGAUAUCUUCACUGGAGCAAAUGAAUAGAUUCCCAGAACCGUGGCAGCCAAGCAUAAUCCUCAAUGCCAUAACUCUUCGCUUUGAUAACUCCUUCUCCCACUUGUCUGCAAAGUGCUGCUUUACUGGCCUCAUCCCAGCAUCCACUGUAUCCCGCGGACGUGUCUCCUUCCUCUGAAUGUCAACGGAUUCAGUGCCUUCACCACUCACUUUGGGCUGAGAAUAUCUAAAGCUCACAGUACUAAUUAUGUCACUAUCAAGAGAAGCCUUAACCAAUCAGCCAAGUUUCCAGCAAGCAAUUUCUAGGAACUGCACGGUUCAAUUUGCAUAGAGACAAAAAGAAUGAAGAAAGACAAUUUGGAGAAGAACUGUUUUCAGCAAUAAUCCUACAUAUGAGAGUUUGGUGGACAAUGUACCUGCUCAAUUUGCUUCUUAAAAAUUCUCUCUGCUGAUUCAGCUGCAUCAGAGUGGAAGUUAGUAAACAACAGCAUGACGGUCCUCCUUGGAGACUCUUCCUGCUUGCAAAAGUUACACAAAAUAUUUUUCAAUACUUUGUAAUAAAGUGGGAUACAGGCAGAGCAAAUUCCCACAAUUCGUCAAAUAUAGUCAUUAAAAUUGUAAUAAGAUCUUGAGAUUUCCCAAUUCUUGGAAUGCAAAAAGCUAC
ensembl:lncRNA